rnacentral:rRNA from 1 species
GACGAACGCUGGCGGCGUGCUUAACGCAUGCAAGUCGAACGAGGUCCAUGGUGCUUGCACCGGAAGACCUAGUGGCGAACGGGUGAGUAACACGUGAGGAACCCACCCUGGAGACCGGGAUAACCCUCCGAAAGGAGAGCUAAUACCGGAUGCCCUCAUCUGAUCGCAUGUUCGGAUGAGGAAAUGGAUUCCGCUCCAGGACGGCCUCGCGGCCUAUCAGCUUGUUGGUGGGGUAACGGCCCACCAAGGCGUCGACGGGUAGCUGGUCUGAGAGGACGGUCAGCCACACUGGGACUGAGACACGGCCCAGACUCCUACGGGAGGCAGCAGCGGGGAAUAUUGCGCAAUGGGCGAAAGCCUGACGCAGCAACGCCGCGUGAGGGAUGAAGGCUCUCGGGUUGUAAACCUCUUUCAGCAGGGACGAUUGUGACGGUACCUGCAGAAGAAGCUCCGGCCAACUACGUGCCAGCAGCCGCUGUAAGAC